rnacentral:rRNA from 1 species
UACGUAGGGACCAAGCGUUGUCCGGAAUCAUUGGGCGUAAAGAGCGUGUGGGCGGCUUGUUAAGUCUUGCGUGAAAUCUCGGGGCUCAACCCCGAGCGGUCGUGAGAAACUGGCAGGCUAGAGUGCGGGAGAGGAGAGUGGAAUUCCUGGUGUAGCGGUGAAAUGCGCAGAUAUCAGGAAGAACACCCGUGGCGAAGGCGGCUCUCUGGACCAUAACUGACGCUGAUGCACGAAAGCUAGGGGAGCAAACAGG